AUGCUCGGCUGUCACAUCAAAGGAAGCAACACUGUUCAGACAGCAUUCACUCUCAGUAUCUCGGGUUUGGGGGCUGUCUGUGCAGUGCGACAGAUGAGGAGCAGCAGCCAAAGGAGGGGUGAGGCCCUGGCAGGUGCUCCACUGGAUAAUGCCCCCAAGGAGUAUCCCCCAAAAAUCCAGCAGCUGGUCCAGGACAUUGCCAGCCUCACGCUCCUGGAGAUCUCAGGCCUCAGUGAACUUCUGAAGAAAACAUUGAAGAUCCAGGAUGUGGGCCUCAUGCCGACGGGUGGGAUGGUGCCUGUACUAUUCCCACUGCAACAGCCCCAGAGGUGGUAGAAGAAGAUAUCCCCAAACAAAAAGAAUGUACACAUUUCACUGUCCACCUGACAGAAUCAAAGCCAGUAGACAAAGUGAAGCUGAUCAAAGAAAUCAAGAACUACGUCUAGGGCAUAAACCUUGUCCAGGCAAAGAAGCUGGUAGAGUCACUGCCCCAGGAAAUCAAAGCCAGUGUUGCCAAAGCAGAGGCUGAGAAGAUCAAGGCUGGAAGCCGUGGGUGGCACCGUGGUUCUGGAGUGGCCUCUAGCUUCGAGGACUUAUGUUCAGGGUCCCUAUGACCCUGGCGGGACCCUGCCUACUACCCAUGCUGUCCACUCUUACCCCAGCACCAGGGAGUGGGAGAGUGACAGCUGCUGGUUCCAGGUGGCCAGGUCAGCCUGGCCAGGCAGACGGACCUACUGUGACCAGAGAGGGGGACAGCUGCUGCCUGUGUGA